AUGUCCGACAGCAACUCCGUCAUGUCUGUCGGGAUCAUGCCCCUCGUUCUGUCCGAGAUGUUGCUUCAUUUGCUGCUGUGGUGUAAGGUUCUUAGGUUGAACAAUCAUGAGGACCGGAUGCUCCUGAAUCGGGUGCAAAAGUUGCUUGGGGUAGUUUGUGCCGCUUAUUUCUCAAUCUGCAAGGUGCUAAUUUCAAAUAUCUUGGGCAAACUGACCAUAGUGCAGUCAAUUCUGAUCGUGCUUCAGCAUUUUUUUGGAAGUGUCAUAGUCAUUUAUGUUGAUGAUCUCCUUAAAAAGGGAUAUGGGUUUCUUUCGAGUAUCCCCUUGUUCAGUGCCACUGACAUUUGUACAUAG
rnacentral:rRNA from 1 species